rnacentral:lncRNA from 1 species
AAAAAUCGAUUGGUUAAACAAAUGUUUCAAAAUUUGUUGUAGUAUUGUUUUGUCUAUAAAUUAUAAAAUUUAUUGAAUUAAUAUAUUUAAUUAUUGCAUCCUUAAAUAAUAUUUUAUUUUUUUUUUUUUUUUUUGUCAUCAAUUUUACAGACUCAUAUUGACUCUGUGAACCAAACUGGGAGAUCUUGAUCCAUGUGAACUACAAAAGACGUUUCCUUCCUAGCACUGCGGGCUAAGCUAUCCGCCUUCUUGUUCUGCGUUCUUGGUACAUAGAUAAUCUCUACUCGGAAAAAACUCUCUUUCAGGCUGUUUAUAUCUUCCAAAUAACUUGCAAAUGCUGGCCAUUCU